AAAGGCUGUUUUAGGAGGCUGUGGGAGGGGAGCCUGGGUGCACUUUAGGGUUGGCCUGAAAGUGCUGCCGAUGUUAGACUGAUUCUUAGAGCUUUGUUCUUUAUUUAUGAGCGCUCUUGCCCUAGUGGAGGCUGCAGGUAGUGCAGUCCACUUCCAAGACAGUGGAGUCAGGUGGCUGGAACCUUGGGUUCGGGUUAGAUGGACUUAAACGGAACUCUGUGAGAAGAGACUAAAGAAGCAGUGUUGCAGGAUGCUUGAAAAGGCUUCCUACAGGGGCUGUAUAUGGACCAAACACAGUUAAACCAUCUAAGAUCUAUUUUCAACUUCGGCCCUGUGGGAUCUUUGAGCUUUUGGUUCCCAUAAAAAGGUCUAAGAAAUGAUCAUAGUUUCCAAAUUAAUUAUUAAAAAUUGGCUUCUUAAAAAAAAAGCUUCCCUUUUCUCUUGAAAAUCGAGUGUGGUGUCUUGAAAACACUCUACCCUUCUCAUUCUCAUGCAUUCAUAAAAGGAAGGUAAAGGUACAUCUUUCUCAGGGAUCUAUUAAGUUCUCUAGGGCAGUUAUAAAAUUAGGCAGUUUAAUUAUGGUAAGUACACACAUGAGAAUAAAGCAAUUCUCUCAAGUAGGAGUUCUGUUCUCAUUAACAAAAAAAGCCUCAGUAACUCACACUUUUUUUCAUAUUCUUUUAGAAAGGUGUAACUUACAUGCAAUAAAGCCACAGAUUGUAAGGGUUUAGACAGUGGGUAUUGAUUGAUGCACAUACCUUUUUAAGUUAACUUUUCCCAGAGCUAACCAUUUCCUGACACUGCUCUCCAUCAAUUACUUUUGUAUUCCUAUAAAUGAUAUGCAGUAUGCAUUUGUUUUGAGUGAUUGGUCUCUUUCACUGGAGAUCAUGUUUGAGAUUCACCCAUGUCACUGUUUGUAUCAGUAAUUUGUGCCUCUUUAUUGCUCAGUGGCAUUCCAUUGUGAAUAUGCCAGUUUGUGCAGCCAUUCUCCUAUGGGCUGUAUUUAGUGUUUGGAUAUUAUAAGUAAAGCUGCUAUACACAUUCUUGUCA